AAAGAUCCUGGAAGGUGCCAGCAAGUGAGGUUAGGUUUCCCACUGUAGAUGUAAUGGAAACAUGGUUUCCCCACCAACUUCGAGGCUUGAGAGCAUUCAGAAAAAGUUUGGUCAACCUUGUAGGGGAACCAGCCCGCUAUACCACCCGCGGGUUCUCCCCUUCCCAGUGGAGACGAGGGAAUGAGAAAAGAAAUAAAGACAAACACACAAAGUUCAAGAGUUAACAAAAGUGGGUCCAGGGGUCCAUCGCAAUGUGGAAACUGCGACAGCCCUGAGCUCUGGAUUCCACUGAUAUUUACUGAAUAAUCCUUAAAGUCCAACUAAUUGGUUAACAGAACAGGACGUGAAAGCAGACAGCCCGUCAGACCACAGGCCUGUGCAUCAAAGGAGCGGUCCACUCCAAGCACCAUCAGCAGGGCAGCAGAGCUCUCUGCCUCUGGGAACGAGCGAGAGAUAGAAGACUUUCCCCUUAUCCUCAGAGGACUUCUCCUCUUUUACAAGCAACCUCCUGCUGUUCCCUUCUGGGGAAUGGAGCAGGGGUCGCUUCCCUUCCCACAAGACCUUUGUUCAGGGACUCAAGUGGGAGGUUGAGCAAUAAGCAAGCUUUCUUGCUUAGAGGCUCCGCACACUUCCU
rnacentral:lncRNA from 10 species